rnacentral:rRNA from 1 species
GAUGAACGCUGGCGGCGUGCUUAACACAUGCAAGUCGAACGGUGAACACGGAGCUUGCUCUGUGGGAUCAGUGGCGAACGGGUGAGUAACACGUGAGCAACCUGCCCCUGACUCUGGGAUAAGCGCUGGAAACGGCGUCUAAUACUGGAUAUGUGACGUGACCGCAUGGUCUGCGUUUGGAAAGAUUUUUCGGUUGGGGAUGGGCUCGCGGCCUAUCAGCUUGUUGGCGAGGUAAUGGCUCACCAAGGCGUCGACGGGUAGCCGGCCUGAGAGGGUGACCGGCCACACUGGGACUGAGACACGGCCCAGACUCCUACGGGAGGCAGCAGUGGGGAAUAUUGCACAAUGGGCGCAAGCCUGAUGCAGCAACGCCGCGUGAGGGAUGACGGCCUUCGGGUUGUAAACCUCUUUUAGCAGGGAAGAAGCGAAAGUGACGGUACCUGCAGAAAAAGCGCCGGCUAACUACGUG